CCAGCAAUGACAGUGCAGGCGCAGACCACCAACCAGCUCAUUUCACUUACACUGUUCACAAGGAGACUAUGAAUGGAAAAAAGUCAAUGGCAAAACUCCCACAUCCUGCUGAAGUUGGUACAUGGAUACUCUACUCAUCUUUAAAGCUGAACUACACAGUAAUUGUUGUGUCACGUGGAAACCCGCUCCUGUCAACAGAAACCAAAUCAUAAAAUCACUGCAGCAGCCAUCUGAUGGCAGGAAGAAUAACAGCCACAUUGAUUUCCACCUCAGCCUCUUUUUCACAUGGCAGCCAAAGGAAACAAACUCUUCCUUCCUGUCCUCUGCCUGUAGCAGAAAAUAGACAAGCCAAGCAGAUGUCCAGGGAUGGCGGAGGAGUACCUCGGCUGCAGCUUCCUUGAGAGAAAACAAGCUCAAGACAGCCU
rnacentral:lncRNA from 13 species